AUGAUACUCCCUCCGUUCGGAAAUACUUGUCAUCAAAAUGAAUAAAAGAGGAUGUAUCUAGACGUAUUUUAGUUCAAGAUACAUCUCUUUUCAUCCAUUUCGAUGACAAGUAUUUUCGGACGGAGGGAGUAGCAC
rfam:Triticum aestivum genome assembly, contig: Triticum_aestivum_CS42_TGACv1_scaffold_031901_1BL